CUUUAAUUGGAUAGAUAAAUAUUUAUAAAUUUUUUAGUUGUAGGGAUUUGUAUAAUGUCAGCUUUUUUUCAUCACUCUAUCAUAAACAGAUAUUUGAAGGGAAAUAAAAUAAAAUGACAUAUUUAUCCUAUAUCAUAGUUCCUGAGGUUGGAGAUAAAGAUGGAGCACUCAUUAUAGGAAAGCAAUCCACUGUGAGACCUUGAUGGGGUGAUGGAUGACAGUGGUGAAGGACGUUGAGGAAGCCAGCGGCAUCGUCGUUGAAGAACCACCGUGAAGGAGGCUGAAGAAGCACCAUGGAUGAAGUUGAAGAAGCACGAGGUUGGAGACCAACACAUAUUGCAGCAAAGAAGAGACUUGUACACGCGUAACCGAUUCCAAUUGGUCUGGAAUCGAUUCCAUAACUGGUGUAUUUGAUUCCAAGUCUUGUAUCUGAUUCCGCUGUUCAUGUAUCCGAUUCCGCUUGGCCAUUAACCGAUUCAAGCGAUUGUCAUGCACUUUGUUCUUGGUGUUAGGAAAGGGAACAUAGGUGUGGGCAUGGUUUUGAAGGUGGUGGAGCUUCGCUUGAGGACGUGCUUCUGAAGGUGAAACUCGCUGUUUGGAGCUGUGGUGGACGAGGUGGUUAUGUGAUAAUGCAACGAAGGUGGUGGAGAUGUAUAGUGUAGAAAAAAAAAUGUGUUUCUGUUUAUUUUUUUGGAAU
rnacentral:sRNA from 1 species